UGCAGUCGUACGAGAGUUUUGAACUCAAGUGGCGGACGGGUGAGUAACACGUAAGAAUUUGCCUUUAGGAGGGGGACAACAACUGGAAACGGUUGCUAAUACCCCAUAUGCUUUCGAGUGAAACGGUUUUUCCGCCUAAAGAGAAGCUUGCGGCUGAUUAGCUUGUUGGUGAGGUAAUGGCUCACCAAGGCGACGAUCAGUAUCUGGUUUGAGAGGACGAUCAGACACACUGGAACUGAGACACGGUCCAGACUCCUACGGGAGGCAGCAGUGGGGAAUUUUCCGCAAUGGGCGAAAGCCUGACGGAGCAAUACCGCGUGAGGGAUGACUGCCUAUGGGUUGUAAACCUCUUUUUUCAGGGAGGAAUAAAUGACGUGUACCUGAAGAAUAAGCAUCGGCUAACUCCGUGCCAGC
rnacentral:rRNA from 1 species